GACGAACGCUGGCGGCGUGCUUAACACAUGCAAGUCGAGCGGAAAGGCCCUGCUUGCAGGGUACUCGAGUGGCGAACGGGUGAGUAACACGUGGGUGAUCUGCCCUGCACUUCGGGAUAAGCCUGGGAAACUGGGUCUAAUACCGGAUAGGAGCCAUUUUUAGUGUGAUGGUUGGAAAGUUUUUUCGGUGUAGGAUGAGCUCGCGGCCUAUCAGCUUGUUGGUGGGGUAAUGGCCUACCAAGGCGGCGACGGGUAGCCGGCCUGAGAGGGUGGACGGCCACAUUGGGACUGAGAUACGGCCCAGACUCCUACGGGAGGCAGCAGUGGAGAAUAUUGCACAAUGGGCGCAAGCCUGAUGCAGCGACGCCGCGUGGGGGAUGACGGCCUUCGGGUUGUAAACUCCUUUCGCUAGGGACGAAGCUUUUUGUGACGGUACCUAGAUAAGAAGCACCGGCUAACUACGUG
rnacentral:rRNA from 1 species